UACGGAAGGUCCUAGCGUUGUUCGGAAUUACUGGGCGUAAAGCGCAUGUAGGCGGAACAAAAAGUUAGAAGUGAAAUCCCUGGGCUCAACCUAGGAAUGGCUUUUAAAACUUUUGUUCUGGAAUUCAGGAGAGGAAAAUGGAAUUUCCAGUGUAGAGGUGAAAUUCGUAGAUAUUGGAAGGAACACCAGUGGCGAAGGCGAUUUUCUGGACUGAUAUUGACGCUGAGAUGCGAAGGCAUGGGUAGCAAACGGGAUUAGAUACCCCGGUAGUCCAUGCAGUAAACGAUGGGUGCUAGUCGUCGGACUUUUGUUCGGUGUCGUAGCUAACGCGUUAAGCACCCCGCCUGGGGAGUACGGUCGCAAGAUUAAAACUCAAAUAAAUUGACGGGGACCCGCACA
rnacentral:rRNA from 1 species